UGGGGAAUAUUGCGCAAUGGGGGAAACCCUGACGCAGCAACGCCGCGUGAAGGAUGAAGGUUUUCGGAUUAUAAACUUCUUUGAUGAGGGACGAACACAAUGACGGUACCUCAAAAACAAGCCACGGCUAACUACGUGCCAGCAGCCGCGGUAAUACGUAGGUGGCAAGCGUUGUCCGGAAUUACUGGGUGUAAAGGGAGCGUAGGCGGGAGCGCAAGUUGAAUGUUAAAUCUAUCGGCUCAACCGGUAGCCGCGUUCAAAACUGCGUUUCUUGAGUGAAGUAGAGGUUGGCGGAAUUCCUAGUGUAGCGGUGAAAUGCGUAGAUAUUAGGAGGAACACCAGUGGCGAAGGCGGCCAACUGGGCUUUUACUGACGCUGAGGCUCGAAAGCGUGGGGAGCAAACAGG
rnacentral:rRNA from 1 species